GACGAACGCUGGCGGCGUGCUUAACACAUGCAAGUCGAACGGAAAGGCCCUGCUUGCAGGGUACUCGAGUGGCGAACGGGUGAGUAACACGUGGGUGAUCUGCCCUGCACUUCGGGAUAAGCCUGGGAAACUGGGUCUAAUACCGGAUAGGAGCCAGUUUUAGUGUGAUGGUUGGAAAGUUUUUUCGGUGUAGGAUGAGCUCGCGGCCUAUCAGCUUGUUGGUGGGGUAAUGGCCUACCAAGGCGGCGACGGGUAGCCGGCCUGAGAGGGUGGACGGCCACAUUGGGACUGAGAUACGGCCCAGACUCCUACGGGAGGCAGCAGUGGGGAAGAUUGCACAAUGGGCGCAAGCCUGAUGCAGCGACGCCGCGUGGGGGAUGACGGCCUUCGGGUUGUAAACUGCUUUCGCUAGGGACGAAGCUUUUUGUGACGGUACCUAGAUAAGAAGCACCGGCUAACUAUGUG
rnacentral:rRNA from 1 species